rnacentral:lncRNA from 1 species
UAUAUGAAUAGUGGCGAAAUCGAUCUCAGGAAUUUGGUUAUUUGAGAUGAAAUCUGUACCGGUUAAGACCGCGCCGCCGGGAUUGUAAACAGUUCUUUCUGGUUUAGAUUCUCCAUAGAAUCCUUCCAGUCCUAUUUCGAGUAGAUGGUUUGAGUCUAUGGACUUCACAUAACCUGCCAUUUCCUUCACCCAGUUCUACACACGAAAACGACAUCGUUUAGGUGAAUAUACACGUACAUGUUACGUAACGUAGAAGGGAGAGAGAAAAACCUGUAGGAUGGUAGAACCACUGGAAUCGUUACAGCGAGGUUCGUUGAUGAGCUCCCAUGAAAAGAUGGUUGGGUCUUCUUUGUAAGCACGACCAGUGAUUGUGUUUUUCCUCGUCAGCACGGUCUGUUUCAUGUUUUGUCAAAUCGUAUGUUUAGUUCGGUUGAAGUCGGCAACGAAUAUUACAAACAUUCCAAUCCAUAUUUGAUUGGUGCAUUUGUUGUAUUACUGAUUCUUUAAUUGAUUUUAAUCUUAACAUUUGACAUGUCAAAACCAUCGGUUAUCUCGUCUUAACGUGUACCCUACCCAAGAACCUAAACUAUUUGUCUUUAGCGUUGCGUGUCACAGAUGAUCAUCUUGAUUUAAAUAAACUGAUAGUUAUCCAAUCAGUAUAUGCAAUUAAAUUUUACAUUAUAUCUUGUUAAAUAUAUACUACUAACCUUCACGUGGUUCUUGUAAAACUGCUUGACAACCGAGUUUGUGUAGAACUCAUCCGGUUCAUCUAAACCGGCCCAUUCCACAUAUUUCUUUCUCCCUCCAAAAUCUUCGAAAUUAUUGACUAAACUAAUUAUCAACUUAAUAUUAUAUCUUCCAGCUUCAUAGACUACAAAGUCUAGUCCCUGCCCAGAGCAAAUGUUAUAUUAGUACUCUCAAAGCGAAAUUAUAAUUAGUUGUCAGUCUUUGAUUAAUCAACUAAGGUAUAUUCCUGAAUUAGUCAACAAACAGGUAUCUUGUACCAACUUACAUAAAAAUAUAAUUUACAAAAAUUAAAGAACUAUAUAUCUUUUGUCAUUUCGGCAUUAUCAACUUUGUAUUACCGUGUGAUAAGGACACGACAAUUGUUUUCCAAGCAAAUACAAAAGGUUUGAAUUUCUUUUGUCGGAAAGUAUUAUUUUGAAAUUUGAAUCCUUCAAUUUAGAUCAACAAACAAGAAAUAAACUACAAAGAAACACCUAUCAAUCUUGAUUUAUAUUCCGUCUUAUAAAAAUAAUUCAAAUAUGUGAUAUAAAAUUACGAAUUUAUUAAAAUAGUAACUAACAAUGAGAUCAUGAUUUAGAAUAUAAAAAUAACAAUCUAUAAAAUAACAAAAUUGUUAGAUCCUAUAAACUUGCACAGGUGAUAAAAAAUAUGAAACUUAAAAAAAACUUACGUCAUUUAAUUUGGCAACUAUCUAUCGACGUUUCUAAAUAUAAAUUAUGCGUGUUUGUGUAUAUGCCUAUAUAUGUAUAUGCUUGAUGAGGGUUACCUUGAAAACGUCUUCACUAUAGGAGCCAGGAGAGAUCUGAAGAGGAAGGUAAUCUCCUUCGUUGAAACCCCAAAUCCUGGCAACGUUCAUUCCAACGGUGGAGGCUUGCCGGAGCGCCGUCGUGACGGUGGUUCUUCCUUUAGACGCAGUAUCAGCAGCAGUGGUCAUCAUCCAAUAAGCGUUGAAGCCGUUUAGGUAAACUCGUUCUCCGUUCAACACGAACUGCGUGCCGUUUCUCCCGACGAACCCUGCCUUUUCGGCGACGCUAAUGCGGUAGUUGCCGACGAGAAACAGAAGAAGGAAAAGGAAAAACGGUACGGUGUUUAACAUUGUGAAGCUUUUGCCGACUUGAUAGAAUAAAUUGACACAGCAUGAAACUGAAAGACAUUUGUAUGCGUUUGUGUUAUAUAUAUACAUUACAGGUGUCUUAGUGUUUACGUAUUUGAAAUUUUUUAUUUUGUCCCCAUAUUGCCUAAUUAUUUGAAAAUAUAUGGUACACGUUAGGAUUUUUGAACGCGUUAAAUAUUAUUUUUCAAGGUUCAACAAAAUCAGUUUGCUGGACUUGUGUAUUUUUGGGUUAAGGAAACUAUUACUUUCAAGACUAAAUGAAUAUAUCCAAAGAAGAAAUAUAUAUAGAAGUUUCUUUUUGGUCGACGUAAUAGACUUUUUUCUAUCUUUGGUUAAAAAGCGUACUAUCUUCAUUUUCCAUUAAACGAUGCCAGUUAGGGGUGGGCAUAAGCCGAAUAUUUGGUAUUUUCGGUAUAUUUAGUACUCGGCUUGGCUUGUACGAGUAUUAAAAUUUUGAGCUUAUAUUUGAUUUAUUAAAAACGAAUACUUAUAGUUUCAAGUAAUUGCGAAAAAUUGAUGGAUUUGAUAGUUACUUGCCUUGUUUUAUUACUUGCUACUUGUAAAUUAUUUACAAAUUAUUUGAUAAUUAUUGGUAAAUUAUUUGAUAAUUAGUUGAAAUUUAAAAGUAAAUUAAUUUAUUAUAUAUAAAUAAUAUGUCUUUUUUUUAUUUUGUCAUUGUUUUUCCUGUUUUUAGUCAUUCGUAAAUAGAUUAAAUUAAAAAAGAAAAAUUCCAAAAUUCUUAUAUAAAUAUAUCAUUUAUGUUAGAUUCACUUAUAAAAAUUGAAAUAUAAACGAGUUGUUUUACUAUAAUUUAGGAAAAUGUAUCUUUGUGCAACUAAAAAAUAAAUAAUAAACUAAAUAAUUAUUUUUAUUUUAUGAUUUUGUAUUUGUAUGAAUUCGUAAGUAGUUUAAAUAGACUACUUGAUAUACAUCUUGGUCAAAACAAAUAUUCGACUUUAAAGAUCAAGUACCAACCAACCAAGUAGUGAACAUAGGCAAAUAAAAAGUAACUAGAUUUUGAUCCACGCUUAAAAGCGCGGAUUAUUUUUUGGUUGAUAAAAAUAUUUGAUAUGAAUUAGUAUUUUUGUUUUUUGUACAUUAUUAUGUUACAAAGUCAUAUUUUAUCAAAAGAUAAUUUUUUUUUAAUUUGGUUAUUUAAUGUAAUUAUAUUUUCAAUUGCUUUUAUUAAUUAUUUUUUAAAAUUUUAUAUGGUGUGAUCAAACUCAGCAUGCCUAUUAUUUUAAAUUAGAUAAGAAAAAAAAUUAUAUUAAGUUCAGACCCGCGGUCAAACCGCUAAACAAUGACUUGUACAUAAGCUGGUUGGGAUUUAAGGAAAACUCGUUAAUUUAAAGCAUGCAAACUUCAAAAAACUCGCAAUCAAGUGUGAUAUGUGCUUAUAAACAAAAAAACUCGUUAAUUUAAGCCGGUAAACCAAUUUUUGAAUUGCAUAUAGUGAAACUAACAAUAAACUCAAUAAUAGUUUUAUUUAAAUUUUAUCGUCAAUUUUCAUUGAACAUAAUUCGUUUUACAUGAUAUUAAUUUGUAGCUGGUAAAAAGUUGAUGAACACAAAUUUAUUGAUGAAAUAUUUGUAUGCAUGUAUGGUAAUAGUGUAGUUUGAAGGCAUUUAAUUUUGACUUCUAAAUUUAAAAAAAAAAUGUAUGGAGUAAUAGAUAUCCAAAUAUAUGUAAAGAUAAUAAAUGAUGAAAUGCAUUUAUAUAAGAACUAAUAGUUGAAGGGUUUAGCAAAUAAUAAAAUAUAUGUAAAGAUAAUAAAUGAUGAAAUGCAUAUAUAUAGGAACUAAUUGUUGGAAGGCUUAGCAAAUAAUAAGGGAACCUAAUAACAAAUUUUGUAAAUAUAUGUUUAAGUUUCUAAUGAAUAUGUCCAACAAACUUUUGUAAGUAGAUUUUUUAUGACUCCUUCCCUUUUAAUAGUAUUGAUUGUAGCCACUCAUAAAAUACUUAAAUUUUAAUUAACUAAUGAAAUAUAUACUAAGUAUUUAAUAAACCAAAUAAUAUAUAACAAAUAACUGAAUAAGUAAACGAUAACAAGUAAUAAAUCAAGUAAUAAACGAAGUAACAAACCAAGUAGCUAAAAAAUAAAAUGAACUUGAUACUUGACUUGUACUUGCAAGUAAUAAAAUCCUCUUACUUGUUACUGGAUUUGAUUGGAGUAAGUACUUGUUUUUUCAUAUCUAACCGAGUCAAGUAGCGAGUACAAACCGAAUAUCAAGCAUUUGUGUCCAGUUCUAAUGUCAGUUACUCCUAUUAAUUAUAUAUUCAACUUUUUUUGAGGAAAUAAUUUUAAUCUUUAAUAUUUUACUAUUUUAUAAAGUGAAAGUAAAAGAAAAUUAUCUCGCGAGUAAUAUCUCUCUCGAAUGAGUCAUAUAUACGUUUUUGGUUAAGAAGUCAUUAUAGAUUAGUCCAUAUUUAUUGCAGGAAAUGUAUAUUUCAGUUUUAUAACAUCGAUAUGAUAUAUAGUUGAAUAAGAUGAUACGAAACGACCACACUCAUUAUUUGCUUUUGAAUAUAAGCAUGACACGCGUGUGGAAUGGAGCUAUCACACUUAAGCUACUACAUGUGAGAUUAAUUUUCUCCUUAAUUAUGUCAGUGACUCAAUUAUGUAAGAUGGAUUAUUAAAUUUAAAUUUCCAACAGAAAUAAUGAUUGACAUACGGAAACUUCAUAUAUGUUUUGUGAGUCCAAACUUCACACUAAUAAAACUUAUACAUAGGUUUGUAUCUAUACUAUUAUUUGCGAAAUAAAUUUUUGCAAUGGAACUCUCACGUUGAAAGUUAAAGUGGUUAAUAUCAUUUAUACCCUUAAUGUAUAAAAUGUAUAAAUAAAUUAAAAAAUAAAAACGAAAUUUUAAUUGAUUUUGAUUAGAUAAUUGAUAAAUAUUAAGAAUAGUAAGAAUUAUCCAAAAUCUGAAAAUAUAAUUUAAAAAAGAGAUAACUUCUGUAUAUAUUGUAUUGUUAUCUGAAAAAGUCUUUAAGUAAAAAAUUAAAAAUAUAAAUUCUAUAACUAAAUAUUAAUUAAAUAAAAUUAUUAAAUAUAUAAUUAAAAAUAGAAUAUUAAAUUAUCCAAAAUCUAAAAAUAUAAUUAAAAAUAUAAUUUCUAUAUACAUUUUGUAUUGUUAUCUGAAAAAGUAUUUUAGUAAAACGUUAAAAACAUAAAUUAUAUAAUUAAAUAUCAAUCAAAAACUUUUUUUUAAUUAUAUAAUUAAAAACUUUUAUUUGCGAAGUAAAUUUUUGCAAUGGAGUUCUCACGUUGAAAGUUAGAUUGGUUAAUAUCGUUUAACCCUUAAUGAAUAAAAUGUAUAAAUAAAUUAAAAAAUAAAAACGAAAUUUUAAUUGAUUUUGAUUAGAUAAUUGAUUAAUAUUAAGAAUAGUAAGAAUUAUCUACAAUCUGAAAAUAUAAUUUAAAAAAGAGAUAGCUUCUGUAUAUAUUGUACUGUUAUCUGAAAAAGUCUUUAAGUAAAAAAUUAAAAACAUAAAUUCUAUAACUAAAUAUUAAUUAAAUAAAAUUAUUAAUGAUAUAAUUAAAAAUAGAAUAUUGAAUUAUCCAAAAUCUAAAAAUUAUAAUUAAAAAAGAUAAUUUCUAUAUGUAUAUUGUAUUGUUAUCUAAAAAAGUAUUUUAAUAAAACAUUAAAAACAUAAAUUAUAUAAUGUCCUCCAGCAUUUCAGGUUUGGGCUAUCUCCAAUAUACCAUCAAAUCCAACCAUGUUCCCAACGACCUCUCUGUUCACAAAUAUGGAUCACCUCUUCUGGAGAGUCUCUCCACCGAUGGAGGAUCAUCAAUUUGCAUGGAUUCUUUGGUAUAUUUGGAAAGGAAGAAACAAUAAAGUUUUUAGCAAUUUGGACAUGGAACCAAUAGACACCUUCAAAUUGGCCGAAACAGAGUCAAGACUUUGGGCUGAUGCACAGGUAUUGACCGAGACCAGGAUAGCGUCCCAAGUUAAGGUUACGACUCCCCCAUCAAUUCUAGGGAGAUGGUGUUUUACAGAUGGAUCCUGGAAAGAGAAUGAUGCUUUCUCUGGACAAGGUUGGCUGAGUGCUCUAGAAGGUUUUAAUGGGUUGUUAGGAGCAAGGAAUGUUCGAGCUUCUCUAUCCCCUUUACAUGCAGAGAUGGAAGCACUAAUUUGGGCAAUGGAAUGCAUGAAAAACUUACGGUAAUUUCAAGUUACAUUUGCAACGGAUUGUUCUCAGUUGGUGAAGAUGGUUUCGGAACCAGAAGAAUGACCAGCAUUUGCAAGCUAUUUGGAAGAUAUUAAAUCCCUGAAAAAAGUUUUCACACGUUCGGAGAUUAUCUAUGUACCAAGGACGCAAAAUUCAAGAGCGGAUAGCCUAGCACGCAGUGUCAGAAAGCAACCGUCGUUUAUCGUUCACAUGGAUCAAGAUCUACCGGAGUGGUUCACAGAGUCAAUAUGAGUUUGUAUUUGAUGACAAAAAAAAAGUCAAACGUUAAAAACAUAAAUUAUAUAAUUAAAUAUUAAUCAAAUAUUUUUUAAUUAUAUAAUUAAAAAUAUAAUAUUGAUUAAUUUUAAGAUUUAUUUUAGUAAUGAAUCUAUAUAUAUAUAAAAAUAUGUUUGCCUCUCUCCUAAGCUAUCCACGUGGAAAAUCACUCUUUGACAUGCUGACACGUGUCUCUGGGUUUUAUUUCUUUGGGUGGACUUGAGUUUAACUUUGGGUUGACAUGGCUUUUUACUCUUUUAUAUUAUUGAAUGUGUUAAUUAUUUUUUAAUACAUAGUAGAUAAAACAAAAAAACACACAUUACGAUAUGGACGUUAUAUUAUCAUCAAAGUAAUUUUUACGAUAUGUACCUCAUCAUGUGAUAAUUUAUAAAGUAGCAACGAAUCUAUGAGUUCAGCAAAUUUGCAGUUACCUAGUUCAGAAUUUUAAGUAUAUAAACAAUCAACAGUAGUGUGUUGAAUAUUAUAUUCAUAUGAUUUAAAAGCUUUUACAAAUUUUUAUUUUUAAACAUACACCGAAAACUUCAUAAAAGUAAUAUCCAUUCAGGUUCUCAACCACUUCAAAUACCACCAAUGCCAAAACAUUUAAUCAAGUGCACGAAAACUAUAAUAUAUUUAAAACUACAAUAAAUAUAUAAGUUAAUGAAAAAUCCUUUUUAAAAAAUAUUACGGAUGCAUAUAUAAAUAUUAAGAGAAAUGUAUAAAAGGAAAUAAAAGUAACAAUAACUUGAAGAACAAAAUGUAUAAGACUAAGAAUAUUUAUGAUUUGUGGUCUAAGAUAUAUUCAACUUAUUGUCACAAAAAACUUAAUAAAAAAAUACAUACUUUGUUUUAAGAACAUUAAAAAUUACGUUAAAAUUUUUAACAUUUUAAGAAAUAUUAUGAAUCAAUAAUAUUAAUAUAAAAUUUUAUCUAAAAAAUUCAGCACUAAAUGCAUAAACAAAAAACAAACAAACCCUAAACCCUAUAAUCCUAAGCAUUAUUCUAAACCAAACCCUAAACCCAACCUAAACCAAACGCUAAACCUUUUCUACUACAUAAAUCCUAAAUCCUACCUAACCCUAAACCCUACCUAAACCUAGACCUUAACCCUAUUGAUAUUACAUGUAUACACACACCAAUUAACCUAAUGUGCACACUACCACAAUCGAAUGGUAUGUCGAUGUAUCACUUUAGGAUCGAAUCCACAGAGACCAACGAUUACACUUUAUCUUUAUGAGAUCAAUACUUAGCUAAAACAAUGAUGGGGUUUUCAUAUUAAGGUUUCGUAACAAGCAAGUAAUAAUAAGAUUAAAUUAAAGAUUUCAGAUGAUUAAAAUGCUUGUCUAGGGUGGUUUGGUCGGGUGUUAAGCAAGUGUGAGCCAAACAAUUGUUCAAGUUUAAUUAAGAGCAAGUCUAGAACUUGGAUCACUCAAGUAGAACAGCCCACUGUCGUGGAACUGCCCCCUAUGCUGAUCGAUCUUGAUACCUAAACUCUCGUUUGGAUCAAGAUGCGACAGCAAGCAAUAUAGAUCAAGUCUUAUAUGUUCACAAAACACCCUAAUAUUUACUUUCGCUGAUUAGGGAUGCAAUGCUCAUUCAAGUUAUGUUUAGCAACCAAUAACACUUUUGGUAAAUAGAUUAAACCUAGAAUCAGGCACUAAGUGGUUAACUUGAUGCAAACCUUAAGAACAACAGUGAAUGAAGACAAUCGAUUUAUAACUUAUUUAUGUCAAGCUCACGGAUCUAACACCCUAACACCCUAGACUAAGCAAGCUGACUACUCAGCCAUGGAGCAAGAAAACACAGAGACAGAGAUAUAAAGGAACAUGAAAUAUGACUGAAAUAAAGUAAUAGGGUUCAGGGGGUUCUUCUCUAAAUCGAGAGAGAUGGCCUUCUCCCUUUACAAAUUAGCAAAAUCUCAAGCCUCCAACUCUAAGGUCUGGUUUCUUCUCAAAAAAUAGCGUAGAAUGUUAGAGAAAAACAGAAAAAAAGAUAUAUCAAAGCCACAGGCGGCUGGAGAAAAAGAUAAAGAGAUUAGGGCAAAUCCCGAAAUAGGUUGUAGUUUCCUUAAAAAAUUUUGCCGCUGGAGCAGGCACUCGGAAACGUCACUCGGGUUGCUCUGCUAUCCGGAACAGUCAUCAAGACUGUUCUGCGUGAAAAUCAUCAAAUUGCACUGUUUUCUCCCUUUUUUGUUCCAGCUGGUCCAUCUUCCAUCCAAUGCAACUCCAGACAUGUAAUGACUCGAAAAGGACUAGGAAGACUCGAUAAAGACUUGAAAACCAAUUGAAAAGCAUAUAUACAAGAUGUAUAAAAUACCAUAUAUCACCUAUCUAACCCUAAACCCAUCAUAAACCUAACCCUGAUCCCUAAACCCGUCCUACUACCUAAACCCUAAACCUACCUAACCCUAAACGUAAACCCUACCUAACCCUAAACCCUAUUUAAUCCUAAACCCUACCCAAACCUAAACCCUACCAAACCCUAAAACCUAACCGUAACCCUAAACCCUACCUAACCAUAAAUCCUACCUAACCCUAACCCUACAUAACCCUAAACCCUACUAACCCUACCUAACCUAAACCCUACCUAACCUAAAAUCAUUCUAACCCUAAACCCUUUUUAGCCCUAAACCCUAGCUAACCCUAAACCCUACUAACCUUAAACCCUACCUAACCCUAAACCCUAUUUAACCCUAAACUCUACCUAACCCUAAACCCUACCUAACCCUAAACCCUACCUAACCCUAAAUCCUACCUAACCCUAACCCUACAUAACACUAAACCCUAGUAACCCUACCUAACCUAAACCCUACCUAACCUAAAACUUUUCUAACACUGAACUCUUUCUAGCCCUAAACCCUACCUAACCCUAAACCCUACUAACCCUAAACCCUACUAACCUUAAACCCUACUAACCCUAAACCCUUUCUAACCCUAAACCCUACUAACCUUAAACCCUACUAACCCUAAACUCUUUCUAACCCUAAGCCCUACCUAACCCUAAACCCUACCUACUUCUAAACCCUACCGAACCCUAAACCCUACCAACCCUAAACCCUUUCUAACCCUAAACCCUACCUAACCUAAACCCUAAAACUGACCUAACCCUAAACCCUGCCUAAUUUUAAACCUUACCUAAUUCUAAACCCUACUAAUCCUAAACCCUACUAACCCUAAACCCUACUAACCCUACCUAACCCUAAACCCUACCUAACCCUAAACCCUACUAACCCUAAACCCUAUCUAACCCUAAACCCUACCUUCUAAACCAUACCUAACCCUAAACCCUACCUAACCUUACCCUACCUACCCUAAAACCUUUUUAACCCUAAACCCUACCUAACCCUAAACCCUUCCUAACCCAAAACCCUGCCUAACCGUAAAAACCCUACCUAACCCUAAACCCUUUCUAACCCUAAACCCUACCUAACACACUAAACCCUGCUAACCCUAAACCCUGCCUAAACCUAACUCUAAAACCCUACCUUAACCUAACCAUAAAUCCCAUCUAACCCUAAAACUCUACCAACCCUAAGCACUAAAAAAUAAUCUCAAAACUUAAAGCUAAAAAAACCUAAACUCUACCGCUAUAUAAUUUGUUGUUGUAAUAUUCAAAUAACAAAUUCUGUAGCAGAUUUUAAAUCUUACAUCUAUUAUUUUAAUUGCCAAAAUAUUUUGAAAAUUGUAUCUUAUGAAUAAAAAAGAUAAAUUAUAUUUUAAUAAUGUUAAACUUUGUUAAAAUAGAAUGAAAAACUAUUAUCAUAAAUAAAUAAAGAAUUUUGAUGAAAUUUGAAAAUCUUCGAAUCAAUAACAAUUAAUUAGUAAUAUUUCAAAAACCCUUAUACUAUUGUAGCAGUAGAAUCUCAAAAAAAAAAAAAAUUAAAGUUCUCAAACAUUUAUUUGCCAAUAACCAUCCUUAAAUCUUUGCUCAUUCAAAAAAAUAAUAUUCUUUACAUAAAUUGGAAACAAUUUUGUUUUUUGACUAGAGACCCAAGUUUAAAUUAUACCACUAAAAUAUUUUAAUAUUUAAUUGUUCAGAAAUAACAAGUUAAUGUUCUUAAAACAAUAACUAUUCUUAAAUCUUUGCUCAUUCAAAAAAAUAAUAUUCUUUACAUAAAUUGGAAACAAGUUUUGUUUUUUGACUAGAGAUCCAAGUUUAAAUAAUGGGCAAUUGUCAAUAAUAGCACCUUUUGAAGUUUAUGUCUCAAAAAUAGCACUAGAACGAAAAAGUCACAAAAAUGACAUUCAUUAAAGGUUAAAAUAUCCCUAAUACCCUUGGUUUAAAAUUAAAUAAACAAACAAAAAUAAAUAAAAAUAAAUAAAAUAAAAAAAAAAUUUAUAGUUUCAGAUUACAUGUUUUCAGAUUCGAAAUUUUUAUAAUUUUUUUUUUUUUAAUUUUUUUUUUAUAAUUUAAAAAUACUUUUUGAAACUGAUUUUUAAAUUUUUAUUUUUAUUUUAGUAUUUAUUUUUUAUAAAAUUUUAAACCCUAAUUCCAAAACCCCACCCCUUAACUCUAAACCCUAAGGUUUGAAUUAAUUAACCCAAGGGGUAUAAGUGUAUAUUGACCUCUUUAAUGAAACCUAUUUUUGUGACUUUGAGCCUUGAGUGCUACUUUGGGAACAAAAACUUGGUUUAGUGCUAUUCUAGUCUUUUUCUCUUAAAUAAUACCACUAAAAUAUUUAAUAUUUAAUUGUUCAGAAAUAUAUAUAUAUAUAUUUACAUAUUCGAGAGUAGACAAUACAUAGAUGAUACUAAAUUGAUCGCAAUAAUUCUUUUUGGAAAACACAAUAUAACUAGUAUAGUAUAUAAAGAACUUUUCAAAAAUUUAUGAAAAUACUUAAGCCCGCAUCGCGGAUAAAACACCUAGUAUCUAACCUAUACUAAAAGGAGAAUAUACUCUACAGAGAAUGAUGCCACGUCCUCUUAAAAAAGCAACCAAUAAAAACAUUUAAAUUCGCCACGUCAUAGAGAAACAUGUAUUUUAUUGGGCUGUGUUUACAUUUUUAAAACAGCCCAUAUUGCCUUUCAUUUCUGACACCUAAAGUUUCAUUUUCCCCUGACUCUUCCUCUUCCUCUUUGCGGUCACGAUCAAAUUUUCAUCAAUAUAUUGAUUAUGCUCUUUAAUCCUGCUUCAAUGGUUUCGUUCUAUCUCCCUCUCUUUCUCCUGCUAUAUAAAGCGUUCCAUCUCAUCUUCAUUCCAACCAUAAUCGGAACUCUGCAAACAUUUUAUUUUACUUGAUGAUAAGUGAAAGAACAGCUUCAAAGCGAGAGAGACCUUCCUGAGUCGACUCGGACCGAGUUGGCUUUUCUUUCUUACUCUCCUCAACUGUAUUCGUUAUCGCGUUCUCUCCCUCUCUGUUGCGUAAUUUUCGUUUGGUGAGUCUCUUCUCUUGCUCUUCGUUGUUAUGCGAUUUGAUUUCUAGGUCUUAAAGAUUUCAAUUAGUUUAUAUGCCAUUUCAAGUUCGAUCCUUUUUCUCUUUUUGAUUCAUUAACAAGAGCAAACAUGCAUGAUUAAUAGCAUUAAUCUCGGAUGAUUGUUAGAUUGUUUUUGUAUAAACACUAAAACAAUGAAUGCUUCGUAAAGAAAUAUUAAUGCUUUGUAACCAACAUUUGUUUCCGUUACUUUUUAUUUUCUUAGUUUUAGAUGAUUCUCUAUUAGUUAAUUGCAUAAAGUUUUGAUUUUUGUGUGUUUAUCACUCACGCUUGAUUUAAUCUCUUUAUUUUUCAGAUUGUUGUUAAGUUCAUGUUAUCUAGACUUUAACUAUGGAAGCGCGUCUUGUGGUCUACCUUAUCGUUUAGUUCAAGAAAUUUGGUUUCUUGGUCUUGGAUUUUGAAGCCAUCAGAGGCUGUGACUUCUCUGGUUUUGAUCUCCACAUUCAUGUCAUGUAAGCCCGACAGUCCUGUUCAGACACAAAUGGCAGUUUCGCUUCUAAAGAGCCCCUUGACCGGGGAGUUCCACGAGUUCAACAAGAUUGGGAUGAAGUCUUCUCUCCUUCUUAUUAUUUCAAAAUAAAUAAAUAUACCUAUUAUGUUUCCCAUAGCGCAUCUAGAAGCAAUGUUAACCGUGACAAAAAAAAACAAAAAUUGAUCCAACUUCUCUUGGUAUAUUGUUAACUGUUUCAUUUGAGUAAAGUUCAAUUAAGUUUCAAGUUUUGUGUUAGGUGUAGCGACAGAAUAUGAUUUCGGGUAUUAAAACUGUCCUCAAAGUAUGUUGAAAUCCACCCUUACGCUACACAAAAAAAAGUUAAGGGGUUACAUGAUGGCUUAUAAAGUUCUUUAUAUUUUAGCAAUAUUUCUACAGAUUGAGAAGAGAUAAGAUCAUGAAAUGGUUCUCAAGAUUUGUGUACAAAGGGAUUAAUUUUGUUUCCUUAUCGUUCUUUCAGAGGUGAACUUUAAGUCAAGAAGAUAAAUCUAUCAAAGAUAUCAAAUUUCUUGACACUAAAGAAAUAUUAUGUGCUGACUCCACAACAAACAUGGAGUCAUUCAUUCGUAUUUGACUCCACUUAGUUGCAUGUUUAAUUUUAUCCCUUUUUCUUUACCAGGAGCAUUUAGAACACAUAAGAUCCAAUGUUACAUAUGGAAAAUAAGGAACGUUUCCGUUAACAGAUCAAGGUAUUAUUUCACCUGCAUAGCUGCUAAAACUAACAUUUUCCUGCUUUCUAACCCAAAAGAUUAUUAGUCCUAUUAUAUCUGAUGUUUAAUUCAUAUGCCCAGAUACAAUGGUCCUUUCAAUUGCAGAUGAUUUCAGAAACAAGUGUUACAAGAUACCAGGACCUCUUCCUCAAUGCCAUCACCAAAGCAAUGUAAUGGCACAUUUGCAGCAUCCAAAUUUGGUGUCGAUGAAACUAUGUCUGCUUUGGUGUCAAUGAAACUAUGUCCUUUCAACUUUUUUUUUUCAAUUCGAGUACAAUUAAAGAAUAUUUUAUUCUGGAAAAGUAAAGGAUCUAUGUAUUUUAGAUGUGUGUAUACUUAAAAGUGAUAUAGAGCUCAAAGUUAACAAUGUGUGGAAGUUUCAAUUAAACAAAUUUUUGUCUAAAUAGCGAAGAGAAGAGUACAAAAAGAAUACAAAAUAACAAGCCACCACAAAUAACCAGGAAACUUUAGUAGAUUAACAUUUAAGUUUGAUUUCGUUUGUCAAAACAUGUUUAGUGGGAAUUAGUUUAGAUGGUUUGUGGAAACUCAGAGAUACAAUAAUUCUAAUUGUGUUUGUCUUAUAAGAAAAGUAUAUUUACCUUGCUUCGAAGGUCCUGCAACACAUCUGAAGUAGUGAAUUACCAACACCUGGAACUUUAUAUUUUUUAUGAAUAUUAGAAUAAAUCUUUGUUUUUUCUAACACAUUACAACAUGUCUAUAAUGGCUAUACAUUGAUAUUAAUGGUUCCAGAGAAAAAGAAAACAUAUAGUUAACUCACCCUCAUGUCAUCUAAAUCGUAUAAAUAACAUACAUUAUAAUUUCAAAAGAAAAAGUUACAGAAAAAAUUAAACACACAUUGCAAAUAGGGAAAGCUCACUCUACAAUCUCUUUAAAAAACUAAAUUCAUUUCUUUUUGGUUAUUUGGCAAAUAAACCCUUGCAAAUAUGACCAAAAAAAAAUUCACAUCAAAACUAGGUGUAGUUUAACAUGGAACAAAGAAAACCAAAUAAGCAAAAAUAUGUCUUUUAUUUAAUUUCUUAGUAGUACUUUUUAUUCAAAUAUAGAAAAAUAUAUUAAGAUAACAGAAUUUUGAUCAGAUCACAAUGAUCCAAAUAACCGAAUACUAUUUUAAGUAAAUAGAUAAAUAUGCCAAGUUAUAUAUUUUAAAAUUACAAUUAACACAUUGGUUAAAUUUAAGACAAAAACAAUUGAAUUCGAUACAAUAAAUACAGAAACUAACCAAUUGAAAAAUAAAAGUAAAAGAGCAAUACAAAUAUUUGAACAACAAUGCAUGUGCUGACUUAUAAUAUAGCUAUAUUGUAGAUAAUGCAUAUAUUGUAGAUAAUGCAUGUAUGUUACUAUUAUCUUAACAUCCACAAGAUAUCAUUGAUCACUAACAACAAUGCAUGUGCUGACUUUCUUACACUCUUUUAAUUCCGGGAAAUUGGUUAAUUCAUUAGUAUGUUUUGCUUCCUUGACCUUGUGUUGGAGGGAGCUUUUAUAUAUUAUUCUAUGAUGUAAAGUUCAUAUUUUACUUAUGGUCCUUAUGUACCUUUUGAAGAAGCCUUUACCAUUUGUUUCAGAGCUUGAAUCUCAUGAAUUUGAAAUGGAAUUUUCAAUAGCCAGUGAGGAAGAUAAGAAAAUGGGACAUCAAAAAGACAGACGUGAAUCACGAUCGACAUUGAAAGUGUGAAGAGCAGGGCCAGAGAUAGAGACAUGAUGAAAAGGAUAGUGAAUGCGACCGCCACAAUGGGAGAAAUUGUUAUAGACACCUUAGCAGAGAACAUAGUGAGAAAAGGGAACGUGAGAGAGACUUUAUGGAUGAUAGUGAUCAUUACAAAAAUCGAGACCGUGACAGAUACUGAUAAUGUGUUGCAGUUAUUUUUUGGUUUAAGAUUGUUGCAUUCUUAAGUUGAUGGUAUCAUCAUUUAUCCAUAGGAAGAGGUCUUUCGAUCGAGAAAGAGAGGAGAGGCACAGGCCAGGGUCACGCUCUCGCUCGAGCAGCCGCUCUUAACGUAAGUCAAGGUCACAAGACUCACAACAUAUGGAUGAGUCUGAAAAUAGAUCACGUUCACUUUUACAGGUAGAAUAGUGGUGGACAGCAAGAUGGUUGGAGAUUGCAGGAGUCAUGUCUGCGCUAUCACCACAAUGCAUAAAACAUUAACUCUUGGAGCAUAGUUGUUACUGUUUGAGGAACUCAAGGUCAUGAAUAUGAGAGAAUCUGGUAAUGUUUUAGCCGAAAAGAAGAAAAAGCCUAAGGUGAUCUGAAACAGAACAAAUGAGUAUGCUUAUGUUUUGAAAUCUGCUAUAAAAACGAGUAUAGUUAGAAGCUUUGGCAGAUUCACUCUUUCUUCUCCUGUCUCUUAUUCAUUUUAUAACUUUUCUUGUGUGGAAACAUUUACUUUCUGUUCGCCUAAGGUUUGGUUUCGAAUAUAAUUCUGAUUUGUAUCAUAAUGGAAUAAUAUAAAACAUUUCAAAUUUGCAUAUUUGAAUAAAAUCACAGUGAAACUUAUGGCUUAGUUUUGUAAAAAUCUUGAAAUUCAAAAAUAAAUAUUCGUAGGGGAUGCUUAAAACAAAUAACUCUUCAAAUAGAACACACAUAUGAUUCCUAUAGACUCAUGAAACUGAUAUGCUGUGAAAACUUAGUUGCGCAUUUAGGAUUCUUGAGGUGAUCAAUUUUACUAAAAAUAACUUUACAGAUUAGAUUUCUUAAACUAAUCAAUUUUUGCCUUUUAAGUAUUGUUCGGAACUCAUAUUUUAACUAUAAAUAGGAAAAAAAGACGUAAAAGUGUACGAAUGGUGCUAUUAUUACAACAUAAACUUCAAUUUAAUAAAAUGGAAUUGGUCAAGUAAGCUGUACAAUGAAUAUAUGUUAACGUGUUUGAAUAUCCCAUAAUUAAAAUACGUUAGAGCUUCAUAUAGCAAAAGAGAGUUUCAGCAUUAACUCUCAGUAGUAUAUUUUAUACAGGAGAUGCCCAAGAUAGAAUCAUUUUAAAUAUAAAAAAAAUGUUGAACUGCUCAGGAAAAUUCCUUUUGGCUUAUAAGUAUGGAUAAACGAUCUGAAACAACCUACACAUAGCCAUACAUAAAAUUAAAUACUAAAUUGUCACAAUCUCAAAUGAUAAUAAGUUUUAUAUAAUGACAUAUUCAUAUGUAUCAUCAUAUAAUCUUACAUAUAUAAAAUAAAACCUCAAAGCAAAAAAUAAAAAAUAAAAUAAAACCAAAGAAAACAAUCACAAAGGAUAUGAAACAAGUAUAAAAAAAAUUGUCUCUAUUAUUUGUCCAAUACAUAACAUGAAUUUUCAUUUAAAAUACAUUUCAUUUUUUUCAAAUAAUUAAUAAAAUUGACAUAUACUAAUAGUAUUUUAUUGUUUACUGUGACGCACUACCAAAUCAUCAACGGCCUUGAACGCGUCGUGGAAGGUUCAACAGAAGCCAAACACAUUCAUAUGUGGUUGCGAUGGCGUUUAAGGUUGAAGGCCGGUUUUCUAAUAAUGUAUAAGGAGGUAUGGAGUUUGUGGAUUGGGCUUAAUAAUCCGACGUCCAGUAUUCAAGCCGACUCUGGUUUAUACAAACCGGUUUGCAAAACAGCAUCAGGAGUUUCCGUCUAAGAUCUCUAUAUCUAAUAGUACAAUACUUUCCAAUUUCCUUUGUAGUAUAAUAAUAAUAAUAACAUAUAUCAUAUCACUUAAUAGGAAAAUAAAAUGUUACUGUCUUCAAAUUUAGUUUUGAAAAGAAAAUUUUCGUUUAUCUCAUUUAUUUACAAUGUUAUACCAAAUAAGUUUGUACAAAGAUCAAUUUAGAUUGGAGCAUCACCAAUGAAUGCAAUUUUAGAAGUUUUUUUAAAAUUUUUUUAAAAAAAUUCUAUUUUGCUUUCCACUAUUCCAAAUUUUUUUAAUAAUUACCUUAAGAGUCUAAAAAAGUAAUAGAAGUAUUUUCUACUCUAACAUACACACAAUAUUGCAAGGUCAUAUAUUUUCUACGCAGUACAUCUUCAUAUGUAAAAUGCACAUAAUCUAUCAAAAGUAUUUUUAUGUAGUAUCUAAACAUGGAAUCGUUCAUAUGUAGUAUUCCAAAUUUUUAUAUAAAAAUAUUUAUUUACAAAAUAAUAAAUAACAAAUAAAUUUUAAUAUUAAGAUAAAUUACAGUUUCAAAAUUUAAAGAUUUAUUCAAUCAUUUUUAUAUGUCAUCAAACUUUACAUAUGAUGUAUAAAGCUAUAUAUGAUACAUAGAAAUAUUAAUAUAACAAUAUUAUUGUAUUUACUUAAAUUUAUGCUAACUAACGUAUUCUUAACCAAUUUCAGGCUAUUUCUUUCUUAUGAACCUCAACGCAACUUCUGGUCUACAAAAGACUUAAUCUGUUUCUUACAUUAUUUAUGUUUACUUGGCUAAUUGCAUAAACUCAAUAUUCACCAUUUUUCCAAACAUUUUGGAAAAUACAAUGCUUCUAUUCUAAACAAAAAACAUCGAAAUUUAUAAUCAAAAAUCGACUAUCAACACACUUUUCCGCGCAUCGCGCGGAGAGAGGACCUAGUAGAAAUAAAAUCGGUGCACCAUCCACAUUUUCAAAGUCUAAACAAAAUUGAUUCGGGAGGUACCAAAUACAAUAACCAAAUUCUUUUUUUUUAUGGGCCCAAUUUUUUAGACUUUUAAAAAUGUGGAUGGUGCACCGACUUUAUUUCUAUAUACAAUACUUAUAUAGUUUUACCAAUAAUAAAAUACAUGAAUAAAAGAAAUUAUUAAAAUUUGUCUCCCAAAUAAAAAAUAGCUUGAUCUAUUAAAAACAUGAAUAAAUGAAAUAGAAAAUUUGUUUACACCAUGUGAACUGUGUGCAAUGAGGUGUAGCUUGGGCCUAUCGUGUUCUUAAGUCUCAUUCUCAUUAUUAUUGGACCCUUAAAAAAAACAUUAUACUGGGUUUCCUAUUAAGAAUUGAGACUCAAGGAAACCUGUCUCUAUUUAGUUCAACUCAACACUCAACUUCCUCCUGAUGAUGUUUUUAUGUCAUUUUGUCCCUCCUCAAAUAAAAGAGACAGUUAUCCUGUAGGGUCGGAUGUAGGAAGUGCAGGUGAUAUCUCACAAGUCACAAGUGUGGAUCAAAGGCUCUAAAAGUAACAAAUGGGAAACAAUGUCGAGAAACUGGGGAGCUAAUUGGCCUUAACGGACAAAAGUCUCAUCCAAAAUUCAUACAAGUAAUGGUAAGAUCAAGACAGCACUAGACGUUGUUCCACCAAAUUGACAGUUUGGCCAGAGCUUCAAAAGCAACCUCAACUUCUAAAACCAGAUUAUAAAAAAAAAACUUGAUUCCUUGAAUGAAAUGUUACAUAAUUCAAAUAUCGGGAGAAAGUUUUUCAAAAUAUCAAAUUGUACAUAAUCAAAGUAUCAUCAAGCCUCUCUUUUAUCUCCUCAUCACACGGUUACGCUCUCUCUUGCGGAACCGUUCCAUCAUGAUCUGGUCAGUUGCAGCUUGUCUGGUAUUCCCUGAAUCCGUAGCAUUAUUGUUAGUAGUAGACGGUUUAGGUCCUUCCCCAUCAGCUCGAGGUCCUUUAUCUUUGUAUAACUCGGGAUGUUCUGCGUGUUUUAAAAGUUGAUCAGUACACGAAUCCACAGGCAUAUCGAACUAACAUAUAGAAAAAAAGAGAAUUCAUAAAGCAAAACCUCUUCUAAGCUUUUCAGCAUAAUCUUUCCCGCGUUGGAAAUAAUCUGCACUGUAACUAGACGGAAUGUUAAACUCUGAUUUUGGCCGACCCGUAAGCCUCUUCUCUUGAAGAAGCUUCUUGGCCGCUUCCGUUUCUUCAAUGUUCUUCAGCUUGUAUCUAACAUUGAAGAACCAAACCAUUAGUCUUUGAAACAUAGAAAAAACACUUAUCAUCAAUCUAUGGAAAAAAGUUAUUCAUCAUACUCUAUUGGUAGUUGCACUUCAGCUAUUCCAGUAGUCCACUGUGUUGAGCUCUCUUCGGAGCUACGCUUCUUAACCUGAGAAAGUUCAAAGUCUUAUAACUCUUGCUACAUUCUUACAUCAAACACAUUAAACCCCUCAAAAGCGAAACUUACUUUAAGAUGAUCAGGGAUCUUAUACAACUCAUCUUCCACUCGCUUCAACUCAUUCUCAACCUCCUCUGCAUCCUCAAGACUCUUCCCCCUUUUCUUAGCAAGUUCUUGUUCAACGUACUUUACCCUAUUGAAUCAAAAACAUAAGCAUAAACGCUAACAAAAACAAACUCACUAGCUUAAAGAUAGGCCCUUACAUGUUGGGAUCUUCAAUCAAAACAGCAGUCUCUUGAGCAAAAGUAUCCUGCAACACAAGCUCCUCUUUCUCUCCUUCCGCUUCAGCUUUCUCAGCUGUUUUCCCUUUCCCCGUGCUAUUCUGCGCCGUGGACAAAGCUGGGAUCCCUAGCUUCCUCUCUCUCAGCUUCUGUAAAAACUUCACCUCUUCCAAUGCCAAUCUGCAAACUCACCAAAUCAACCAAAGACCUAAACUUUCUAACUACCCAUCAAGCCAAUUGAAGAAAACUCAUACGACAGAAACAAAUAAAAGCCCUAAAAACAAGAUUUUGAAUUCGGAACUGACCUUCGUUUCUCUUCUUCUUCUGAGCUCGCUGCUUUACUUUGCUCAUCUUCUUCUUCCUCCUCCUCUAACGGACGUUUCCUGAAAUUUCUCUUCGGCGGCAUCGCAGAGAGUAUCAGCUUCUUCAAAUUUGAUUGCUUUGAGAGCUGAUCGAGACUCUGAGAUUUCUAUUCAACCGACGAAGAAGACGCUACUUCAGGCUUUGUAUUGAUUUCUUUAAGUGGGCCUUAUUAGGCCCAUAUUAGGUUAUGUUGGCCUAAUAUAUACAGUAACAGGCCCAUCUUAGCUUAUAAAGGAUAAAUUUUAUUUUUCAAACCAACAUAAACCAGUCAAUUACAGUAUUAAUUUCUUUUUAGUUACAUCAACAUUCAAAGCUUGAAACAUUUACAUUUAAUUGAAUUAUUUCUUGGUAGAGAGCCUUUCUUUAAUCUUGUCAACCAUCUUAGAUCCCACCUGAAAUGUCUUUGUCAACACAUCUUCCGGCAAAGCAGGAUCGGCCGCAAAAAGUGUUGCCGCAACAGAAACCGUUCCAGGUAACUGACUAUUAAACGCACACAAAACAGAUGCCGGAGAUUUUCCAUUAUUCUUUUGAAAAUGGACAAGUCCUCUUGGGAAAACAAAAACUUCACCAGUCUUAAUGGUUUGUGAGAAAAGCUUGUUUGAUGUUGUGAUAAACCCAACUUCGAGCUCUCCUUCGAGGACAAAAACGACUUCUGUGGCGCGUGGGUGAGUGUGAGGUGGGUUUAGGCCACCCGGUGCGUAGUCUAUACGUGCUAGGGAAACUGAGAGAGUGUUGAGCCCUGGGAUCUUCUCCACGUUGGCUCCCGUCACGGCUGAGCCCAUUGUGGAGUUUAUGACGGCGGGGCUUGAGAUUCCAGCGAAGAAAAAGUCGGACGAUGUGAUGUUUGACAUUUCUUUGCAUGGGAACCCGUUCAACUUGGUUCCUGCAACAUACAUAUUGGGUCGUUUAAAAAAAAAAUAUAUUGGGUCGUUUACUAUGUAACACAAGGCGUUUAAUUUUUUAUCCGAUGUGAUCACUAAACCCCUAGAUUCAAUUAUGAAAAUAUGUCUUUGACUUACAAGCUACAACCUGACUGAUUCUUAUGAAGUCAACUCUAUUUUGAUUUGAGAUUCUCACGUCUUUAUUUAUACAAAAAUUGAAAAUUAAGACUGGAAUUUCACCUAGAUGUUUUGAUUUUUUGAAAAUUUAUGAAAGAUGAACGAGAUAUCAAAAAAUUUAUAGAUCCCAAGAAUAAUUACUAAAAAACAUCAAAAUUUUAUUUAUAUUAAUGGAAAUAGUAAUUUUUUUUGUUAAUCAAGUUAUGAAGAAUUGAAGAUGAACCGGAAUAUCAGAUACAACGACCUAGCCUAACACUUAGUACUUUUGGUGAAAAAAACGAAAAGACAAGAGUACAAGAACUAAUAUUUACCAUGAGAUUUAUCAGCAACGCAGAGAUCUUGAAGGGCAUCGGGAUCGUAUGCAUGAAUCGAAGCAAUAAUGCAAGAUAGCACGAUGGUAAUGAAAUUUUUUGAAUUCAUCAUGGUUCAAAAAGGUGAAGAAUUAUAUGAUUAUUGUUUAAAAUUUCAAGGAAAGAAGCUCGUGAUUCUUUAGAAAAUACUACAACUAGCUAGGUUUUUGUCUUGAUAUUUAUAGAACAUGGACCAUCCGUAUUGAUCGGCAAGUCAUUUGCUUGAGAAAACACACGAAAAUUCAUCUGUCUUUACCAAACUAAGAAAUGUACGUCAAAGCUAAGUAGGUGAAACUAUAGCUUUCUGAUAUAUCUUUCACUACAACCAAAUCUUAAAUUAGACGAUACGAUAUUCGGUAUAAGGAGAAAUUGUAUAUAUAUACGUCAAAUAUUUAUCUUCCAACUAAAAGAAGCAUAAGCACCUAUUAAUUAACGGUUAGUCCAGUUUACUUGGUUCUUUUGUGUAACAUUGUCUUUUUAUACCCCAGUGGACCCACAUUGGACAGACUGAGCUGUGAGCAUCGGAAAUUUUACUUCUCACUUUUUAUGGAUAUUUGAUAUAAUCCUAUUGCUAAUCAAUUAAAAUACAAGUUUAAACACAUGACGAUCUCAAAACAGUAUAUCAGAUAAUAAUAAAACCGUUUUAUACUCUUUUUGAACACUAUAAAACUUUAUACAGCACAAAACAGUAUGUAAAUAACUCAAAUGUACAAGAUGGUUGGUGCAAUGAAUCGCUGUAAUUAAAACAAAUUGGUCAAUUCCAGAUCCAAAUAUAUUAAAUCACAUUGUGCAUAUGUCUUAUUUUCGAUUUUCUGUUUUUUCCUAAUCAAGAACAUUUCAUACAAACUUUUCUGAAGCAACUUACAGAUUAUAGUCUUCCACCCAUCGUAUGGGAAGAAAAAUCAAGGAAACUUGGGAAAAGGAACCAAACCGCAAAGACAUUGAGUAGAAGAAGCUGGUAAUGCUGUUGUAGGAAAGAGAGAUUGGUUAGAUGUGUGUGGGAUUAAUAGAUUACUAAACGGUGGCAACAGCGAAUUCGACGCCGGGAUUAACGGUGACGACGUUGUUUGAUUCACCAGAUUUAUACCCUGAGCUAUAGCGCGCCAUCGCCGUCACAAGGUGGUUGUGCAUUCCAAAGUUUAAUGUCGCUUGAGCAAAAUAAGGAUUCAUCCCCAUUAUAGACAUCACCUGCAAUUACAACAUUAUUUUUACUAGUUAAUUUCUGAAUUUAUAAAAUAAUAAUCAGAGACGACCUUAAAGCCAAGCAAAGCAAGCAUCCGCUUGCAGCUUCAAAUUUUACAGUUAAUAUAACCUUUAAAAACAGCCAAUAUUUUAGAAAAAAAUACAAAACCAGUCAUUUUUUAUUUUGCGGUCUUAAGUGAAUACGUGAAUCUCAGGACCGGUUCUGAUAAUAAUAUAGAUACAUAUAUUGAUGAUUAAAUGAAUGAAAGGGCAUUAUAGUACAGAAGUGAUGCAGUGAUUAGCUUAUAAAGGUUUCAAAUUGAGCUUAGCAGCGAAUAAAAGCGGAUUGAUUGAUAAAUAAAUAUUAGCAGUGUAUAUAUUAUAGUUUUAAUUUUUAAUAUAAAGGGUGUUACAAAAACAAACAAAGAAAUUCAGCAAUUAAUCAUAGAGUAUCCUAUUCCCUAUUUCUCUAUGCUUCUUGUUUUUUACUACCAGAACUUGUGAUCUCUUUCAUUAUUAUCACACAAUUGUUCAUACGAGAGAUGUUCUAAACUUAAAGCUUAUUUCUUAUAGAUAAUACACUUCUUUUAUUUCUUGGUUUACUUUCGAACAUAAAGUUCCUUAUAAGCAAGCACAAUAUAUAUGGCAUGGAUCGUUAAAAGGUCUAAUAGUCUAAUCGACCACAUAAACUUGUGGUGUGACCAUUAUACAUGGUCUUCUUAUAACUCCAGUUCUUUAUAUCCAAGUGGUAAACACCAAAAAGCAGCUUUUUUUUCAUCAAUUAGAAAUCACUUGAUAAAAAUAAGAACUUUCAUCUAUCGGACCGAUUGAGAUCAUAUAGCAAGAACAACUAAACGAGUUAUGAUCGCAAGCUCGCAAGCCUUAACGAUCCUUUUUGACACACAAUUAUCCUAGACGACCACCAACUAUAUAGAGUAUAUACAUAUAUAUAUAUAUAUAUAUAUAUAUAUAUAUAUUUCAUAUAAUCAUACAUGUAUAUAUAUACUGAAUAAAGUAGUUAACAUAUAGACCUGGAGUUGAAGUUGAAGAUCUUUCAUAUACUCAAUGGCUUUAUCGAGAACAGAAACCGUGUCCUCCUGAAAAUCGAAAACAAAACGUACACAUCCCACCGGUUAUUAGAGAAAAAAAAACGCAACCUAAAGCAAGAUUUCUUGAAAUAUUGAACGAUAUACACUUUUUUUUUUGAACGAUAUACACAUGAUAGAUAUUUACAUAUAAUAUAUAAAUAGAGAGAGUAAUAUAUAAAAAUAUACCAACCUUGUGACAAUUAGGUAACAGUUUUUGUAGCUUACGCAUCUUGUUACUCAACAUAUCGUUUCUUCUUCCCUUGAAACCUUUUCUUGUCACUGUAGGAACUUCUCUUGUGAACCCCUCCGAUUCAUCCUAUACAGUUUUUAUAGAAAAAGGAAAAUUAAAAACGGUGAAUUUAAUAUAGUAGUAUACAUAAGGCAACAUGGGAGGUAUACGUCGAAUAUAUAUCGACUUACAUCACUGAAGAUCUCGAUACGAGACCGUUUUGGCUUCACAUGCUUGUUUCUCAAAUAAUUUUGAUUAUCUGAAAAGUCAUAGGUUUGAUGAUCAUGAUGAUCACCAGUUUCAGAAUGUUCAUCAGGGACAGCCAACGUCAAGUCUUUCUCCGAGAUUUCUUCUUCUCUAUGAAUCUCUGGAACAGUUUGAAACUGAAUAUCAGUUUGAUCAUGAUCAACGUAGCCGUAGCUCGAUUUUAAGCCGGUGAUGAGACGUUCUUUAUCACUUCUUGCUCUUUCUGAUAUACCCUGAUCUUUCACAGCAAGUGAUUCAACGUCGUUGUUCCACCCCAGCUCCAUGAAUCCUUGUUUAUUUAACCUGCAGAAAAAAAUAAAGUAUUAGGUUUAAUAUGGCAUCCACUACCGAAGAAAAGAUAUUCCAAAUCGUAAGACAAGAAACCUAAACUCGGAAACCUCUCCCUAAAUAUACGUACAUGUUAGUUAAAGAGAAACUGGAGAUAGAGAGAGAGAGAGAAGUAUUUGAGCGAGAGUAUUUGACUUAAAUGCUCCCAGGCACGAGUUUCGAGGCUAGGUUCAAAAAGUCAACAUCUCAUCCCUCCGCUGCUUAAACAGGCCAGCACCGCCGUGUCCGUACUUGCUCCGCUGCAUUUAUUUCGCCGGUGAAGUUUGGUGAAGCUGGUUUAUUACUCCUUGAAGCACAGGCUUACCCCCUACGGUCUCUGUUUUGGCUUUAAAUGAGCCAUAAGCUGCAGAUCUGGUUGAGAGAAUGCUUCCUGUAACGAAGUAACUUUAACGCUUUGACCCUACAAGGUUGGGUAGUUAAGGUUAUUCAAGCUUCCUGUGAAUCUUUUACUGUGGAAUACAGUUUUUACCUCAUCUCUGAGGAGUUACCCGCUCUAGGUUCUUACUGCGAGAUCUGCAGUUAUAUCUCUUAGACUUUACAGAAGAAAACAAAAAGACAUCGGUGGUAAGAUGUCUCUACGCAACUCAAGGCAUGAAAAGGGCAAAUGGAUAGCUGACCCCACCAAAUCAUCUCGCCGUCCUCCUAUCCAAAUCCCACAGAUAAACACUUCUGCGCUGAUACAGGAGAACAAACUCACCCUGAUUGGUCGAGUUACUAACCCCGCCAUCCAAAAAACUCGCGCACUUGUGGAUUUCUUUCUACAGCACUGGCGAGUGGCGGGUAAAAUCACUGGCAGAGACUUAGGCCCCAACUUAUUUCAGUUCAAGUUCGAGACUGAACAAGAUCUUCUAUCGGUCCUCUCUGAAGCACCUUUCCACUUCAAGCGAUGGAUGCUGAUUCUUCAAAGGUGGGAACCGAUAGUCUCUGACCACUUCCCCGCGCUGAUUCCGUUCUGGAUCACUAUUCACGGAAUUCCCUUGCACUACUGGACAGAUGUAGCCCUGGAGGCCAUUGGGAAUGAACUGGGACCAGUGGAAACGUAUGAUGUUGAACGCGGGAGGAUUAGGGUCCUGAUCAAUGGGUUAAAACCAUUAGAGAUGGCGCUGGAAAUAAGCCUAGCAGGGGAAAUCAAACAAGUGGAGCUUGAGUACGAGAACCUACAAAAACACUGCUUCCUCUGUCACUCUCUCUCUCAUGAAAAGGAGGUAUGCCCAUCUCGUCGGACCCAAUCAAACUUGAGCUCUGCAGCUCCAACAAAAAUGGGAAUCUCUCAAGUCCGAACUAUGGACCGUUUGGAAGCUGAUAAACGGAGACUAGAUGCGAAGAAGCAUAACUACUUGGGCCACCAACCCACAGAACAGGGAAGACCGGGAUUUCCAAGACAAUGGCAAAGUAGCUCCACCCGCUCGUAUGAUUGGAACCAGGACAAAAGCUUCAGAUUUAAUUACGGAGCCCGGCGUGACCCUUACUUCAAACAGAGCUCACUCUCUUCCGAUAGAAGUAACCCAGCUUCACGACUUCCAGUACGAGAUAGACUUUCACUCCGUACGGAAGAAGACUCUGUUACAAACAAGGACUCUCAGUCUCGCCACCAUACUCGAGCUCAAAGAUCAGAAUGGAGACCGAUCACAAGGAGCCCCCAAAGCGGAAUUCCAAUCCCUCUGAACUCUUUGGGCUCUCAUACUCCAUCCCCUCGGCCUCCUCGUGAGGGAGACGUAAAUCACAGACUCGCAUCAUCUGCCUCAAAACAAGCAUCAGGGGAAGGUAGUAGACCAUCACAAGAGAGAAGGUCAGCGCUAGAGCGACUGUCACUACCAAAUGAAAGAGUACCUCUACUCCAGGAUGGGGUCCCAAAUGCGGAAUCUGGCAGACUUCAAGAGGUCCCAAUUCAGCAGUUAGAAGAGGUACUACCUCUACCCCAAUCUGGGGGAAGUAACCUACCUUCUAGCUCAAGAGUUCCAAGUAGGACAAGGGAAGAAUUCGAUCCAUCUCAAGAUCGAUCCCCCAUCCGCACCCUCAGUGAAGAUAGGGUACAUGUCUCACUCAGAUUGGGACCGCUGUUCCCAGACGACGAAGAUGAUCUACAAGAACUCGGUCCUAGGACAGGUAAAGACCUGGUAGCAUCAUCUGCUCCGCAACCACCGCUGGCUAAAAAGCGGGGUCCGAGAAGUCCACCUCAGGGAGUCGCUGUUAAAAAAAGAAGAGUUACAAAGGUACAGAACUCCCCCAAAAGAAGAGGAACUACAGAAACAAAGAAGAGUAAAACGACUCAGCCGAGAUCCUCAGGAGGACAACCGCGAGUUAACAUCAUUCCACCAUCGAGGAAGAAGGGAACGGAUUUUCGGUCCGCUCCACCUCCUCUUCCUUAGUCAAUCUGAGCUGGAACUGUCAGGGUAUUGGGAGCGACCUGACAGUUCGUCGACUCCGAGAGUUUCGCACAAAGGACUCUCCGGAGAUCAUGUUUCUGAUGGAGACAAAACAGAAGGAUGAGGAGAUUUACAAGAUGUAUAAGGGGACAGCCUUCACAAAUCACUACACCGUACCACCCGAGGGACUUAGUGGAGGCUUGGCCCUCUCCUGGAAGGAUACAGUGCAGAUUGAAAUCUUAUUCUCUUCAGCAAAUGUAAUUGAUACAAAAAUUGAGUUCAAUGGAAAAACCUUCUUUGUGUCAUAUAUCUAUGGAGCUCCAAAUAGAGAAGAUAGACCAAAGUUCUGGGAAUCAUUGUCAGAAAUAGGAGCACAGCGGAGUGCACCAUGGCUUCUCACGGGAGACUUUAAUGAUUUGCUUGACAACUCGGAGAAAGUAGGAGGCCCGUUGAGAUGGGAAGGCUCCUUCUUAUCCUUCAGGAACUUUGUGUCCCUCAAUGGCCUAUGGGAUUUACAAUUCUCGGGUAACUCCCUCUCGUGGAGAGGAACGAGAUACACACACUUCAUCCAAUCUAGACUAGAUAGAGCAAUGGCAAAUAUUGAAUGGAUGGAGAUGUUUCCUGCUGCUAGAAGUGAAUACUUGAGGUUUGAAGGGUCGGAUCAUCGUCCGAUGUUAACUCAUUUUGACCAACACCUCAAGAAGAAAAAAGGCUUGUUUCGGUAUGAUAGGAGGCUGAGUGAGAAACCGGAAGUUCGCACCUUAGUGGAAACAACCUGGAACUCCUCUAGCACAGACUCAGUCUUGACAAAGAUCAGCCAGAUACGACGUAACCUGAUCGAAUGGGCGAAGGUACAGACAGCUGCAGCAAAAGAACAUAUACUCUCCCACCAAGUGCUAUUGGAACAGGAACUGUCAACUGCCAACCCCAACACUGCACGUAUCGGGGAGCUGAAUGCGAUCCUAACAAAAGCUUACGCGGAGGAUGAAGAGUUCUGGCGCCAAAGGAGUCGUAUCCAAUGGCUAAAUGGAGGUGAUAGGAAUUCGUCGUUCUUCCAUGCGGUCACCAGAGAACGCAGAGCCUGCAACAAGUUCUCCAUCAUCGAAAAUGAGGCGGGGCAGGGUUUCUUCGAGGAGAAUCAAAUAGUUCAGACGUUUGUACAAUUCUACCAGCAGUUAUUUACCUCCGGGAACACAGAUGCGAGAUCAGUGGUCGAAGAAGCUCUCUCACCGAAGGUUACUGCUGCAAUGAAUGAGAAGCUAAUAAAAAUCCCCGAUAUGGAGGAAAUUCGAGCUGCAGUCUUCUCUAUACACCCGGGAAAGGCACCAGGGCCAGAUGGAUUCUCGGCGGGGUUCUAUCAGACGUUUUGGGAUGUAAUUGGGACUGAUAUCUUCCGAGACGUGAAGAGCUUCUUUGAAACAGGCCGAAUGAACCCCCGUCAAAAUGAGACUCACCUCAGGCUCAUUCCAAAGACCAAGGGAGCAAAGAAGGUGUCGGACUAUAGGCCCAUUGCACUGUGCAAUACACACUAUAAGAUAAUUGCAAAGAUCCUGUCUAGACGGCUCCAACCUCUGCUCCACUCUCUGAUCUCGCCAUCGCAGUCAGCUUUGUUCCUGGGCGAGCGAUAUCAGAUAACGUGUUAAUCACGCAUGAGAUACUCCACUAUCUGAGAAAAUCUGGGGCAAGGAAACGGGUGACCAUGGCGGUAAAGACCGACAUGAGCAAGGCAUAUGACAGGAUUGAGUGGAGCUUCCUUCGUGAGGUACUGAGCAGAUUGGGCUUCCAUGACACGAUAAUCUCGUGGCUAAUGGAAUGUGUCUCAUCGGUGUCAUACUCCUUCCUGAUAAAUGGAGGACCGCAAGGUGCUGUUAAGCCUUCGAGAGGCCUCCGACAAGGUGACCCGCUCUCACCGUACCUGUUCAUCCUUUGUACGGAGGUACUCUCAGGACUAUGUCGACAGGCUCAAGAAAAAGGAACCUUACCGGGAGUAAAAGUGGGGCGGCACUGCCCUCCCAUUAACCAUCUCCUCUUCGCGGACGACACCAUGUUCUUUGGGAAGUCGAAUGCCGCUAGCUGCUCAGCCUUACUCUCUAUCCUCCAGAAGUAUGAGAUGGCUUCUGGACAGUGCAUAAAUCGUGGGAAGUCGGCUAUAACUUUCUCAUCAAAAACCUCUCCAGAAUGCAAAACGAGAGUGAAAGCUGAACUCAAUAUAAACCAAGAAGGGGGAAUUGGAAAAUACCUUGGUUUGCCGGAGCACUUUGGAAGGAAGAAAAGGGACAUCUUCUCAAGCAUCAUUGAUCGCAUUAGACAAAAAGCCCAAGGGUGGACAGCGAGGUACCUCUCGGGAGCAGGGAAGAUGGUGCUGUUGAAGGCGGUUUUGGCAGCAAUGCCUACCUAUGCCAUGUCGUGUUUCAAGCUUCCGAAGUCUUUAUGUAAGCAAAUCCAAUCUGUCCUCACAAGAUUUUGGUGGGAUGUUAAACCGGAGAUUAGAAAAAUGUGUUGGGUCUCUUGGGAUAGGCUUACCCUCCCCAAGAGUGCCGGAGGACUUGGGUUUAGAGAAAUUGAAGAGUUUAAUGAUGCACUGUUGGCAAAACACACUUGGAGACUGCUAAAAGACCCCUCCUCCCUGCUGGGACAAACACUCUUAAAUAAGUACUGCCGCUAUGAAGACCUUCUCUAUGUAUCAGCUCCAGGCUCUGCCUCGCAUGGUUGGAGAGGGAUUCUUGCAGGUAGGGAGAUCAUCAAGAAGGGAAUGGGUUGGGUAGUAGGUAGUGGAGAAACUAUCAAGAUUUGGAGUGAUGACUGGUUAUCUACGGAAAAGCAAGAACGUCCUGUUGGACCCCCAAAUCUCGACGCUCAGAACCUGACAGUCAAAGAACUUUUCCAGAUAAACUCAGCGGAGUGGGACUCAGAGAAAAUAAAACUCCAUUUACCUCAGUAUGAGGGCGAUAUCUUAAAACUAGUGCCUAGCUCCCUGGCGAUGGAUGAUGAGAGGGUCUGGCUCCCUGAAAAGUCAGGAGAGUACUCAACUCGUUCAGGCUAUGCACUGGCAAAGAUGAACAAGGGUGAUACCAUUGAGACUUUCAACUGGAAAAAGUGCGUGUGGAAUGUUAAAUGCUCGCCCAAACUGCAGCAUUUCUUAUGGAAAGUAAAGUCAAAUGCACUGGCUGUGGGAGAGACACUAAUCAAGCGUGGUAUCCAAACUGAAGGGAAAUGCAAGCGGUGUGGAGCUAGUGAAUCUAUUCUCCACGUUAUGCUUUCCUGCCCUUAUGCACAAAGGGUUUGGAGACUAGCCCCAAUCCUAACACCUCUCACGACAGGGAGUGAUGAGUCGAUGGCGGAAGUUCUUCAAACAUGCACUAGGAUGAUCAAUCUACCUCCCACUGGUCUGGUAACUCCCUUAUACCCAUGGAUUUUUUGGGUCUUGUGGACUAGUAGGAAUCAGUUAUUGUUCGAGGAUAAGUCUUUCUCGGAAACAGAGACGAUGCUCAAGGCUAUUAAGGCGGCAGUGGAAUGGCAGGAGGCAACCAAUCUCCUAAACACGACAAUGCCACCUACCAAGAAACCAAACUCUGUUUCAACUAAAGACUCUCCCCCUGUGAACUUAACUCCACAAAUACCAGCAAAUACCUCAGCUCUGUAUUCAGAUGCGGCUUGGAACAGCACAUCUCUGGCAGGAGGCAUGGGAUGGGUAAGCACAACAGCUGACGGCUCGAUCCUGUUCAAAGGAACUGUGACUCGUCGAAAUGUGGCCUCAGCUCUCGUAGCAGAGGCGAUGGCUCUUAAAACAGCACUCUUGGAAGCUGUCUCUCAUGGUCUAACUGACAUAAUCUGUUUCUCAGAUUCUAAGUGUCUAAUUGACCUCAUCACAGGAAAGAAAACUGUGGUGGCUCUGCAAGGAUUACUCCAUGACCUCGGCGUGUUGAGUGACUCUUGUAACUCUAUCUCUUUUUAUUUUAUCCCUCGGGGCUGCAAUGAAGCUGCAGACACUCUAGCUAAAAAUGCUCUGUUUUGUAUGUCAAACAACCCUUCUAGGGAAGCUCUUUCUGUUGUAAACUCUGUUCUUUAAGUUGAAGUAAGAAGGUUUGACCAAAAAAAAAAAAAAAAGAGAAACUGGAGAUAAAACUUAGAGAAAGUUCGUGUCUGAGGACUUCAGAGUUGUCCAAGAAAAUGAAAUAUCGUUGAUUUAUAAUAUAGGAAUGGCCGGAGCUGGAUGACAGUUGUCAGCCAGUUUAGCGACCCACUUGAGUUAAGCCACGUUCGGUAUCAUGAAUGGUUCUUUUAUUUUGAAGAAAAAUGAUUUUCAUUUAAGUACCACCGACAAUUUAUAUAUAAUGCAAUCCGACUAGACUAUUAUACAAUACCUCCUGGGGUUGAAGACAUAUAUAUAUGUCAUUUAGUUAAAUAAGUUCUUUAGUUAAGGUUGAAUAUAAUACUUUGGAUUUCACAAAAAUCGUUUUAAGAAAUGUGUUGUUUUGAUUCACUUCCAGACAUCCAUUGCAAUUUUGAUAUAUAACAUUUUAAUUUGUCUAAAAUUAGAUUUUGAAAAUGCAAAAUAAAAUAUAGCUUAAAGUAAUUAAAACGACAAUUACAUGAAAGUGAAAAUAUAUUUUAUAUAUUAGGGUUCUGUUUAUAGUUACAUUACACAUGCAUGCAUACAGUUUUUUUUUUGAAAAGAUUUUUCAUCAUUCUCAGGUCGUAAGCAUGCAUCCAUACAAUGCUUUCAUAGAUAUAUUACUUUUAAGUGAUCUUCAUCCCCUAUAUAUUAUUUGAGAAACAUUACAACAUUGUUUUGUAGCCAUGUGUCAUCACUACAAUGAUUCUUAGAAUGCUUAGAGAAAUAGGUUGGUCCAUCUAAAUAUAUAAUAAACUUUUUAUUAAACUAACCAUAAAUACAUUAUUAAUGUGCUUCAUUAUUUCCUUCAAUAAAAUUACGAAAUUUCCUAAUGUGGGUAAAGUAUAUAUAUGACAAUUAAUGAUUUUGAAUAAUAAAAAUUUAAUAAAAAUAAGGGUGUAUUAUAUUAUAAUUUUUUAAUUUUAAACUAUGAAAAUAAAUUAAAAAAAUCAUAGUAACCAUAUAAUAAAAAUUAAAAUUUUUCUUUCUAUGUUAUAUUUUGAAUUUUUAAAAACGAUUAUAAAUUACUAAAAUUGUUAAAAAUUUCACAUUCAAAUUUUGUGAUCCAUGGUUUAAAAUUUUUGUUAUGACUUGAUACAAAUAAUUAAAAAAUCAUAUAAGUUAAAGUCUCAUUUAAUAAGUAUUAAAAGUAAUAUAUAUAUAUAUAUCAUUUUAAAUUAAAUUAUAUGACCAUAUAAAAAAUAUAUAAAUAUCUUAAUUUUGAAAUGUACUGUGAACAAUUUUUUUUUUGAUAAAAAAUUUGAAAAAUAUAGACAACUUAAUUUUAAAAAAUAUUAUAAAUCACUUAAACUAUUAAUCUCACAGUGAAAAUUUGUUAUCCGUAAUUUAAUUUUUUUGCUAUAACACAUACAAUUGAUAUAAAAUAUAUGAGCAAAAUUUAACAUUUAAUAAAUAUUAAUAUUAAAAUAUAUUGUAUAUAAGUUACUAUCAUUUAAAUUUAAUUAUAUACCAUAUCAAAUAGAAAAAAUAUUUUUUGGAUUAAUCAAAUUUAUUUAUAUGUUCUCACCAAUUUAAUUAUAUAAGUAAUAGUUACCGUCAUUUUAAUUAUUUAAUAUAUAUUUAUUAUUUUAUAAGAUGUUAUAAACAUAUAAUAUAUAAAAAAAAUUAUGUAUAUAAUGUUCAUUCCGCGCAAGGCGCGGGUCUUAACCUAGUUAUUUACUAUUAGGAUACAAAAUAUUCAGUCGUGAGUCGACAUACGUCCAUUAUUUUGACACACAUGCAUAUAUAAAAUAUGUUAAUGUAUAUAUAAUAUCUCUUUGUACGUACAGAUAACAUUUUGAUUUUUAAGAGUUGGUGAGAUUUUAAUUUAUUAUUUCGUAAUGAACAAUGAGCCACGUAAGUCUGUUUUAUCCUUUUAAUUAGUAUUUUCAGUAAUCAUUAUCCUUCAUCUUUAAAUAGUCGUCGUUAUACUUUAUCUGUGUAAUAUCAGAUGUCCAAUCGGCUAUAAGAUUAGCAAAAAAGUCUACCGUCUCUGUUUAUCUGAGAUAGUCGACCAAUGACCACCACAACUUUUCAUUUAGUCGAUAAAUGUUUUAUCAUAAACAAAUGCUUAAUAAUAAGCGACGAAAUGAAAUACAUAUGAAUCAACACAAUAAUUAGGCUAGGUUCUCUCCAGAGCAUGCCACCUCAGCAUUUAAAAUGACUGUGUGAUUGACAUGUCAUCAAAUGAAAAAAGUUGAAAAACCAAUCAAUUCAUUUUGAUAAUACACGUCAUUUUUUUGAGCCGUGAAGUCUUCAGUUCCAUCUCUUCCUCCUCUUCAGAUCUCAUCUCUUCCUCCUCCUCCUCCUCUUGAGCUCGUCGGCUCGGCAGACUGUUCGAACCGCAUCACAAGGAUCUAGCUCAAGCAACAGAGGAUCUGCGGCACUCUUUGAGCUCGUCGGCGUAGAGUUCUUCUUCACUCUCCGGGUUCGUCGGCGUCGAUUUCUUCUCCAGACGCAUCACAAGGAUCUAGCUCAAACAGCAGGGGAUCCGCGGCACUUUUUGAGAUCGUCGGCGUCGAGUUCUUCUUCAGACUCUCCGGACUCGUCGGCGUCGAGUUCUUCUCCAGCCGCAUCCGGGCUCGUCGGCGUCGAGUUCUUCUCUAGCUGCAUCACGAUUUGGACUCCUAGGGUUCUAGCAGUUCUAAUAUAUGAGUUCAGUUCGAAUCUAAUUCCGUUUAAAGAAUGUUUUGACAGUCCUGAUAACCGGUGAUAUUAGUAUGGUAGGCCAAAGAUUUGUUAAGGCCAAAGAAACUUUGCUAUUAGAACAUAUCAAACAACGAUUGCUAUUAGAACAUAUCAAAGAACGAAUUGGUUAAGGCCAAAGAAAUCGUAAAAUACAGUUUAAGGUAUCUUCUUUAACUCUUUGUUCUUCUUUUGCAGAUGGUAAGCUUUCGAUGAGUUGUGGAAUUACCUGAUGGUGUGACCAAAGAGCACAGACUUGGUGCUAAGCGAGUGUGAUUAGGAAGUGUAGUGAAGAUAGAUGUUCUGAUGUGACAAAUAGACAGAACUAACAGUUUUGCGGGUGUUGUGUUGUGUGAUGUUCCUGAGACCUUAAUAUGUCUUGCUUCUGUUGGGUUAGCAAGUAUCUUACAGUGGGAUGGAUAAUUUGAGGAAUCCUGUUGUGAUUCCUUUAGCUCAUAUUGACCGGAUUAGAUAGUGGACAGAAGACCUUACACGAAUCUUCUCUAGCAGUUUAUCAUUGCAAUUCCAGUGGAAACCUGAUUUCACUAAGUUAUAAGUUUAUAUUUUCGUCUUUCAUGUGAAAAUUGUGUUGUUCACUGAAUGAUUAUGCUAAAGAGGGGGUUUUAUUUUGUUUAUUGCAGGCUGAGAUAGUGGAAUAUCUGUUGUUGGGACUCAUGAUCUAUUUGACCAUCGACAUAUGUAGUCCCAAAAGAAUGUAAAGAAGUUAUUCCUCUUGAUGCUUGGGUCCUGCUGAUAAAGUCCUUCACUCUGCAGAGCUUCUUAACGCCUACAAGACAGGGUGAGACUCUGAUUCUUUUUUUUCAUUACGCCUAUGCUGAGAAAACUGAAAUAUUAUCUGAUUCAUGACUAAAGAUGAAUCACAUGGUUUUGUAGAUACAAACGGUCAGAACACACCAACACACAUCCAAAAUGUUUAGUUGAAGCCAGAAAUUGUAAAUUCCUAAUCAGCUCGUAUCUAUGGUUCUCCAUAAUAUCUCUACAUUUAAGAAUGUAACAUUUUACUCUUUCUUUCAUCUAAUCUCAUUCUAUGUUUCGUUUUUGUAAUCCUAUGUCUUUUUACUGGUCAAUUUGCGUAUUAUUUCGUCUUUAUACAUAUGAAAUACGUUGAAGUAGUUAUGAAUGACCAAAAUAGUGCUGUCAACGAC